rnacentral:rRNA from 1 species
UACAGAGGUCUCAAGCGUUGUCCGGAUUUAUUGGGCGUAAAGAGCGUGUAGGCGGCUAGAUAGGUCCGUUGUGAAAACUCGAGGCUCAACCUCGAGACGCCGGUGGAAACCAUCUAGCUAGAGUCCGGAAGAGGAGAGUGGAAUUCCUGGUGUAGCGGUGAAAUGCGCAGAUAUCAGGAAGAACACCCGUGGCGAAGGCGGCUCUCUGGUACGUGACUGACGCUGAGACGCGAAAGCGUGGGGAGCGAACAGG